rnacentral:lncRNA from 1 species
UGGAAGAUUUAUUGGAAAUAAAUAAAUGUGCUUGUGAGUUGAUCACACUAUUUACAUAUUUUUCAGAUGUACAUGUUCCAUGAAAUGAGGGUCCCUGGGAAGAUGAUACAACUAAUAAGUUUAAUUGAUGAGGAGGCUGGAACUAGGACCGCAUGGUCAUUUCAUGGUUGGAGCCCUGCAGCCUGAGCUGGUGAAUCAGUGGCUGCUGUCUUUGGUGCUGAAGCUCUGUCGGCCUCUCAGGGACAGGAAUGAGAAGCUGUGAAACUUGCAACGUAAAAUGUGGAGGAUCUGGCACGGAAAGGGGAGCUGAGCAUUAAACAGCUGACGUGUUUGUUGUUAUUCUUAUGUCCCUUUGGACCAUACUUGGGAGGAGCUAUUAUUAAAGAAGUUACAGAUCAUACAUUAAUUCCACCAGUUCCUGCCGAAUGCUUACAGAAAUCUAACCCUUAUAAAGGCCAUUUGAGGUACAAGAAAGGCGCUCAGGAAAUCU